CAGUAGCCGCGGGAAUACGAAGGUCCCGAGCGUUGUUCGGAAUCACUGGGCGUAAAGGGAGCGUAGGCGGCGUGGUAAGUCAGAUGUGAAAUCCCGGGGCUCAACCCCGGAACUGCAUCCGAUACUGCCAUGCUAGAGGAUUGGAGAGGUAGCUGGAAUUCUUGGUGUAGCAGUGAAAUGCGUGGAGAUCAAGAGGAACACUCGUGGCGAAAGCGAGCUACUGGACAAUAACUGACGCUGAGGCUCGAAGGCCAGGGUAGCGAAAGGGAUUAGAUACCCCGGUAGUCCCUGUCUCUUAUAC
rnacentral:rRNA from 1 species